UACCAGCACCCCGAGUGGUCGGGACGUUUAUUGGGCCUAAAGCAUCCGUAGCCGGUUCUACAAGUCUUCCGUUAAAUCCAACUGCUUAACAGGUGGGCUGCGGAAGAUACUAUGGAGCUAGGAGGCGGGAGAGGCAAGCGGUACUCGAUGGGUAGGGGUAAAAUCCGUUGAUCCAUUGAAGACCACCAGUGGCGAAGGCGGCUUGCCAGAACGCGCCCGACGGUGAGGGAUGAAAGCUGGGGGAGCAAACCGG
rnacentral:rRNA from 1 species